rnacentral:tRNA from 5 species
CGCGGGGUGGAGCAGUGGUAGCUCGUCGGGCUCAUAACCCGAAGGUCACAGGUUCAAAUCCUGUCCCCGCAACCA